GGCAGUUCUUGGGUGAUGCAUCCUGGAACUGGGCUCCCUCCUCUCUAGUUCCAGCUGCGUCACCAGAGAACUGCA
rfam:Myotis lucifugus cont2.17735, whole genome shotgun sequence.